rnacentral:rRNA from 1 species
UUAAAUGGCCGCAGUAUUUUGACUGUGCAAAGGUAGCAUAAUCAUUAGUUUCUUAAUUAGAAGCUGGAAUGAAAGGUUGAACGAGAAAAUAACUGUCUCUUUAUAAAUUUAUUUGAAUUUUAUAUUUAAGUUAAAAAGCUUAAAUAAUUUUAAAAGACGAGAAGACCCUAUAGAGUUUUAUAUAAUUUUUUAUAAUAAAAUUUAUAUAAAAUCACAAAAAUUUUAUAGUUAAAUUAUAUUUAGUUGGGGUGAUUAAAAAAUUUAAUAAACUUUUUUUUAAAUUAACAUUUAUAUAUGAUUAAUUGAUCCAUUAUUAAUGAUUAAAAGAUUAAAUUACCUUAGGGAUAACAGCGUAAUUUCUUUUUAGAGUUCUAAUCGAUAAAGAAGUUUGCGACCUCGAUGUUGGAUUAAAAUAUAGUUUUGGUGUAGAAGCUAGAAUAUUAGGUCUGUUCGACCUUUAAAAUUUUACAUGAUCUGAGUUUAAACCGGUGUAAGCCAGGUUGGUUUCUAUCUUUAAAUAGUUAAAAUAUUUUAGUACGAAAGGACCAAAUAUUUAAAAUAUUUUGUAAAUAUUGAAUAAUAAUAAUUA